GGAAGGCAACAGCGGCAUGAGGCCCGGGCCGACCUCAGCGACUCCGACACAGCCCUUCCGGCCCCACGCGCGCACCAGCAAAGCCUCCCGACAGACAGGGCUUUGGGCUUUCGGUUUGAAAACCAGAGGUUAUUUUUAGUGACGUCCUGGGGCCGGUAGCAGGACGUGAAUUCCUCAAGAGGAGCUGUGGAAAGGAAAUAACAGAAGCCUCACAUUCUCCAGCUGGAGCGGGAAUGACAAGAGACCAUUCUGGCCAUGCCCCUGUCUCUGGGUAGGAAAGCUCCUCUGGCCACGCGGAGGCCAGAAUGUCCCCUGAAGAGCUGUGAGGAAGGCCGUGGAAGUGUCCGCAGUCUGCACUUGGGGUUUGGUCUUUUAGAAAGUGUACCCUCAGACUCCCUGGCCCUGAGCUGAACAUUACACUUCUGCCUUCGCCAUAGCACACACGCUGCAUACAUGCUUAGCCCGUGGCUGGAGGAAGAAGGUCCUGGUAGCAGAGAGAGCACCAAAGCACACAGUGUGAGGUUAAGAUCAACCAUCUCACCCCCCUGCCCACUCUCCUCCUGAGGCACAAUUUGAAUAGUGAGUGACUUUUGUUAGGCACCAUUUAGGGACAAGCUGGGCUCUGGGGCAAGUCAACUUCACCUCCGUUUCCGGCAGAACGGGGCAAUGACUGAAGGUAUCUCUCAGGUUGUCACAAAAGAGAAUGAGAUGAUGUGGGGAACCUCUUUGCAUGGCACCUGGGACACAGUGAGUGCUCAGCUUGGGCCCACUGUUACUAUGAUCACCGAAGCCUCCCCAGGAGACUGUGCUUCAGGAAUCCUACCAGAGCUCCUGAGCUCCCUUUUUGCUCAGAUUCUUCCUUUUCAUGGGAAUAAACAUUGUGGGUAGACCGUGAGGCCCAGGUCUCCCUGACUCAGUGAAGGUGCUCAAUCUGGGAAGCCUAAGUCAAGGGAAAGGGAACAGAUCCAGAGUGAUUUUCUCUAUCAUACUACUGCAACAGUCCCAACGUUGCCUCUCGGCAGUCUGCCUGAAGACUGGUGGAAGUGUGUUUCCUUUAGCUUCUAGAGUUUGUCAUUGAGACUGUGGUCCUGGUAAGGCUGGUUGGGCCAGGAUUUCUCACUAGACCACUAUAGUGGCCUGCUUACCUCUUACUCCUUAAUCAGCAUCUACUCUGGGACCGAUGGCUCCCGGGACCUUCUGCCCUUGUAGCAGCAGGUACUGGUACACAGGAGUCAAGAGGAGGCACGGUCUACAGUGCAGAGGUGGCAAGGGAGGCUCAUGGUCCACUUUGGGAAUGUGGCUCUCACAAGGACAACGGACUUAACAGCCAAGUUGAGAGCCUCCAUCACUCUGUGCCAAGGUUGAUAUUACCAUUCCAAAGCAGGGCCCAGCUGGCAAGGAUCAGGUCUCCUAUCUGAGUUCAGAGGAAAGUAGAACAUUUGUGCCUCUGCUGAGAGGUGGUGUGCUCUAAUGGUUAAAUGCCUGAGCUCUGAACUUAGCUGCUUGGAUUCAAACAGAGCUGACAGCUGUGUAAACUUGGUCAAGGUACUUAGCCAUUCUGUGAUGCUCUGUCCCCAUCCAUAUAAAAUGGGAUUAGUAGUAGCAUCUAUCUCAUAGGAUUAUGAUGAUGAAGUCAGUUAACACAUAUAACACACUUAGAAUGAUGUCCAGUCCAUUUGAAACGUUCCAGAGACAUUAGCCACUAUUAUUAAUAAUUUAUUUGUCAAUAUUUCCAGCUCUUCAUGGACUCCGCCAUUCCACGAUCUGUCUCAGAAUGAAUUUUCCAGCCUCGGUUUGGUAGAAGUCAGCAAACAUGUGCCUAGGAACUUGGUAUAACCAGCAUUUCUUCCCGAUACCAACUAUCUAAUGUCAACCUGGGAGUUUUCCCUUAAUGACAUGUCCUUUCUGUCAUCUCUCUCUGUGGCUGUGUGUGAAGUCAGUCUGUCAGAGGCAUUCUCAAGAGCCAAAACGUGCCUGUUCUUUCUUUUUCCCGUCCCCUGUCCCCAUUCAGGACACGCUGCUCUAGGACAUUCGCCCUCUCGGCCGAGCCUCUGAAGACGUUUCACUCAGAGCACUCCUGAUACCAAGGAGAGGCCACCCCUGGCUCUCUGGGAAGCAAGUAUUCCUAAAUAUUUUAUUCGGAGGGCUUGAUGACACCAUCUCUCUGAUCAGGAUUCAGGAGGCAGGUGUUGGUGACAGCCUGUGGAAGUAUCUAAUACCUUCCAGAUCAGCUGCUGUAGGUGUCGGUGGCAAAGCGGGGAGAAGUGACAAUCAGGCACUCCCAGUUCAGCUCAGGGCAGGAGCCUCUCCUCCCUGCCUACCCGCUCUGAUGCCUCUUCCCAGGAGAUCUGGGUGACACGCCUCUGUGCUUUCACUCGGUCUCCGUUAUUGCAAAAGGAGCCAAUAGGAAUCCGGGUACCAUUUUUGCUAAACUGAGUUGAAGUUCAUGAUCAUAGAUCUCACACCCUUGGACCUUUCUGCAGCAACACCACCACCACCAUCUCCAUUCUAUUGUCACUGUCCCCGCCUUCAUCACCACCACUUGCACCAUCAUCACCAGCAACCUCUUGCCUAUGACAUUCUUCAUGACAAUAAUGGCAAAAGGUGCCUGUUACUACCACAGCACUGACUCAGUGGCUCUCAUGGCCAGGAUCCUGAGGAGCCAGAUGGUGACAGAGCGAAGGUAAGCGUGGCCGUGAGGCUGUGACGUUGAAGAGGGAGCUAGCUGCUGCUCUUGGGUUCCACUGUCACCUCCUUCCUCACCCACUGUGGGGGUGGGGGAAGGGCCGUCCUUUGUCCCAACACCCCUUUCUUAUGAGUAGAGCCUAUAAAGCAGGAAUCCGGGCCAACGCUAAAGGAGAUUAUACGAUCACUCCAACUCACUUCUUUUCUCUUUUCUUUCUCCCUCCCUUCUCUCUCCCUUCCUUCUUUCCUCCCUUUCUUCCCACCUCCCUUCCUUCCUAUAAAGAAACCACAGACCAUGGAAAGAAAAAAACCAAUUGUCCAACGUGACCCAGAGUGAGUCAGAGAGAGACAGGCUAGACCUUUUGAUAGAAAGUCCCAUGCUUCCUCGGUAGGUGAAAGAGUCCCGGAAGUCAGUUGUGUUCUGCCUCAAGACUGCCCCGUUUGGGGUAAGAAGGUGCCUUUGAUGGUGGCAGCCCCCGGAUGGGCAGAAGGGAGCCCACCACUCGGCCUGGGCAGGGAGUGACUAUGCAGGGCAGACUCAAGGAGGUGAGGGAUUCGGGGCCGAGGGGGAUGGGAUGAAAGAGCCAGUCAGUGGCUCCUGUCUAUGUCCCGAGAAUGACCUCCUCUGACCUCCUCUAAGCCACACCCAUUGCCACAUGCGGGAAUGGCACCCACGUUUUGACUCGGGGGCUAUGCUGUCCCAAGCCACAUCCUUCUGGGGUACAGACAACCUCACAGACAGGUCAGAGGCAGUCUAAGUGACAGGAGGCCUCUUCUUCCCAAAGAGUUAGAACUGCAGCAGGAAAGACGAACGUUAGAUAUUAAGGGGGACAUCCUGUCUAGAGAGGAUUCCUGGGCUUCCUGCCAAGGAGACUAUGGGCUCUUCUAACAGGGAAUUUUCCCAGCAGCUGUCUAGGAAGACGUGUACCCCGAGGCAAGGGAUUGGUCCCAGUGACCUCAGAAGUCUCCUCUGGGUUUAAGAUUUCUAUGAACUAAAGUCUAUGAGGAUGAAAUGUCUGCAUGUGCGAUUCUGGGGGCCUGGCUGGUCCCCUGUGGGCGGCACGAUCCUGAAGGACCUGUCAUCAUGUCCUCUGUGCAGUCGUACAUGCACACGUGCCGAGCGUCACUCUGUCGAACACGGACCGCGGAGGUAGUCCAGGCACGCUGGGUAGCACAAGUGACUACAUCUGGCCCCAGAGCGAGGGGAAGAAGGUGAGGGGAGCCCGAGGGGGAAAACGGGCCUCUUGGCAUCCAUCCCUGAGGAGGUGGCAUGGAGGAUGCUGGCUGAUAUGGUGGCCCUACGGUGUGUGUUGAGACAACAUCUGGUGACACCUUCUCUUACCGUGAGAUGUGAGAAAACACACCCACCCGGAUGUGCCUGGGAUUCCCGUCACAGAUGAAAAACCCGAAUCUCGGCAAGACUGAAUUGCUAGACCAGGGUCAUUCCGCUAGGAAGCGGGACCUCCUGACGGCCAUGCUUUCUCUGCUAGUCCACUCUACCUACAUAUACGGAUGUUAUUUUUCAAGCAAACCCUCUCAUCACUGGUCUGGGAAAACUCAGCAGAAUGUUAAGGAAGACCUGGCAAGUGCUUGAUUUCAAAGGUCAAAACGUGAGCCUCCCAUUUUACUUUGGUACUGAAGCCGGGCCGGGGGGUGGCGGGAGGGUGUGGGUCAGGAUGAUUGUUACAAGGUGGAUUCUGGGGCUGUUCUGUGGCAAGAGGUCUGCUGGUUUGCAGUCACUUUUCAGAGAUUUUCCAGAUGACCUUUCCAAGGAGCCCAGAGACGUUUCUCCUGCCUUCUCACCCCAUCCUUACUGUACACGGGAGAGCCAUGGGGCUCUGGGGUUGAAAUGGGGCAGGAGAGCAGGACACAGGGUAGAAAGUACCCUACUAAAUUGUUAAAUAAAUUACGGUUACCACACAAUGGCAUAUUAUGCUGCCAUUAACUGUAAUGUUUUCAGAGAAUAAUGACACAGCUCCAAUUCACAGCAGUGGGAGGGAAAGCAAGAGAAAGGGAGAGGAAGAAAGAACCCAAACAAAACACCAGGCAUUCCUCUCCGCUCUCCGCCAGUGGCCUGGCCCAAAACCCCACUCACUUUCCCGGCAAGCUGCCCAGUCUUGCGUCUCUUGAAGGAAAACUGCAAUGGCCUUGGCCAUUCCGUGGCACAUCCUCCUUCUCUUGGGGACCCUCCUGCCUCUCUGCUACCCCAUGGCUCCCAGAGCCGGCCACUGACCGCCUACGUGCUCCAGGGAUAAGGAGCACUCCCCAGCACUGCAGCUACGUCCUCACGGCAGGGAAAGGAGCCACUGGGGCCAGCUCAAUGUGCGUUUCUUAGACCUCGUCCUUUUCCAGAAGUCAGGCUUCCCAAAGUUCAAGAGUGGGUCUCCUUACCAGCAAGCCUAGUGUCAUCUCCCUGAGACAUGUAAGACUGGCCCAGACUCUCCUCGAAGACUGACCUCAGUGAAAGCCACUGGCAGCGAAGAUUUGGCCGCAGAUACCCUACCUGGUGUGCCUCGUCCUGCAUCACUUCCUGUGCUUCAAACUCCUUGUCUAUUUGCCAGGCUCGUGGCUGGAGUGUGAUAUCCACCUAUGGCAACUCCUUCUGCUGCCCAGAUAGACUCAAGGCGGACUGCCAAGUCCCCAAGUUCAAGUUCUUCCCAAGCUGGCUCUUCUUUUUACAGCUUCCCCUCCCCCUCUCCCAGAGUGACUCCUCUCCCAAAGAACCGGUUCACGUGCUGAGUCCCCAGGACAUCUUGCAGAGUUUCACCGCCCUAGCCGCUCUCCCUGGAACACCUGUACCCACAGUCUUCUUGGCCUAUCCAAGCCCUGUGCAUCCUUCAAAGCUUUGGGAAGCCUUGAGGUCCUCCCCACCCCUCAUCGCUUCUCUUUCCUCCAAAGUCAGCCAGAAAGCAUUGUUUUUAGCACACGCUGCAUUGCUGUUGUUGGCUCUCUUGUUAUAGGAUUGUGUCCUACUCUCCAUCGAAUUAGAGGCUCUUAGGUAAGAGUUCAGGAAUAAUCCCUGGCUCUUCGGCAUCCCGUGAUGGGCAGCAUGAUGCCUCUUCCUCAGUUCUGUGCUCGGUCUGAGUCAUGACAAGCAGGGGACAGGGGACAUGGGGAUGCCCUUGUGCUUUCCUCAGCGACUAGUCUGCCCUGCAUCAUGGCAUGAACCAAUACGCUUGGCUCCAUGAUUUGCCAUAACUGAUGGAGGUAAUGAAGAAGGGGGUGAACAGUUUGGGAAGGGCCCUGAAUGUUGGUCAUCUUGAACCCGCUGGGGAAAAAGCCAAUGUCACUGGGAGGUGGAUGAAAUGGGGCAGAAGGAUGAAGAAUGGCGGGGGAGGCCCCAGCUCUGUCGGUGAAGGACGUGGAACACAGAUGGACCUCGUGCAGGAGAGCUCCAAAGAGCUCUCUUUGGCAAGAGAGCUCCGAAGACCCAAACUGCCCAAGUUCACAGGUCACACAGAAUGCAUAUGGUAAGUGGCCAACUGACAGCAAGAAUGAUCAGGAGCAGAUGGGGUGGGGUGAGAAUCUCCCUGGAAGGUUCCGGAACAGGGCUCUUCCAGAAGGGGGUCAAACUCAUGGUGGUGCAUGUGUGGCCAGGCAGCAGACACUGUGGGCUUUGGGGACAGACCUGGGCUCAGGUCUUGCUCAACCACGUCCUAGUUCAGUGAUCUUGAACCUGUUAUUUAACCAUUCUGGCCCCGAUCUCCACAGCUGUGGAAGGACACCUCUCAGGGCUGUGGUGAGAAUCAAUGAGACAAUGGAUGUGCAAAGUAUUCCACAAACUCCACCACUUUGAAUAAACACCCGUGACCCUUG